rnacentral:rRNA from 1 species
UACGGGGGGGGUAAGCGUUGUUCGGAAUUACUGGGCGUAAAGGGCUCGUAGGCGGCCAACUAAGUCAGACGUGAAAUCCCUCAGCUUAACUGGGGAACUGCGUCUGAUACUGGAUGGCUUGGAUUCGGGAGAGGAAUGCGGAAUUCCUGGUGUAGCGGUGAAAUGCGCAGAUAUCAGGAAGAACACCAAUGGCGAAGGCAGCUCUCUGGGACGGUACUGACGCUGAGACGCGAAAGCGUGGGGAGCGAACAGG